GUGAGGAAUAUUGGUCAAUGGACGAGAGUCUGAACCAGCCAAGUCGCGUGAAGGAAGACGGUUCUAUGAAUUGUAAACUUCUUUUGUGCAGGAAUAAAGUGGGUUACGUGUAACCUUUUGUAUGUACUGUACGAAUAAGGAUCGGCUAACUCCGUGCCAGCAGCCGCGGUAAUACGGAGGAUCCGAGCGUUAUCCGGAUUUAUUGGGUUUAAAGGGUGCGUAGGGGGAUUGAUAAGUCAGCGGUGAAAGUUUGCAGCUUAACUGUAAAAUUGCCGUUGAAACUGUCGGUCUUGAGUGCAAAUGAGGUAGGCGGAAUGUGUUGUGUAGCGGUGAAAUGCUUAGAUAUCACACAGAACACCGAUUGCGUAGGCAGCUUACUGGAGCGCAACUGACGCUGAGGCACGAAAGCGUGGGGAUCGAACAGGAUUAGAAACCCGGGUAGUCC
rnacentral:rRNA from 1 species